AGCAGCCGCGGUAAUUCCAGCUCCAAUAGCGUAUAUUAAAGUUGUUGCAGUUAAAAAGCUCGUAGUUGAAUUUCGGGAUCAGUACGUCGGUCGUGCCUUGGUACGUACUGGCGUCGCUGAUUUCUCCCUUCUGACGAACCGUGAUGCCAUUAAUUUGGUGUUGCGGGGAAUCAGGACUGUUACUUUGAAAAAAUUAGAGUGUUUAAAGCGGGCACGCGCUUGAAUACAUUAGCAUGGAAUAACGAAAUAGGACGUUCGAUCUUAUUUUGUUGGUUUCUAGGAUUGACGUAAUGAUUAAUAGGGAUAGUUGGGGGCAUUAGUAUUCAAUUGUCAGAGGUGAAAUUCUUGGAUUUAUUGAAGACUGACUACUGCGAAAGCAUUUGCCAAGGAUGUUUUCAUUAAUCAAGAACGAAAGUUAGGGGAUCGAAGACGAUCAGAUACCGUCGUAGUCUUAACCAUAAACUAUGCCGACUAGGGAUCGGAUGAUGUUAAUUUUAUAAUGACUCAUUCGGCGUCCUUA
rnacentral:rRNA from 1 species